UACGUAGGGUGCGAGCGUUAAUCGGAAUUACUGGGCGUAAAGCGUGCGCAGGCGGUUCGUUGUGUCGGCGGUGAAAGCCCCCGGGCUUAACCCUGGGAAUGGCCGUCGAAACUGGCGAACUGGAGUGUGGCAGAGGGGGGUGGAAUUCCGCGUGUAGCAGUGAAAUGCGUAGAGAUGCGGAGGAACACCGAUGGCGAAGGCAGCCCCCCUGGGCUGACACUGACGCUCAGG
rnacentral:rRNA from 1 species